rnacentral:lncRNA from 1 species
CGUUGCUGUGGCUCUGGAGUAGGCCAGCAUCUACAGCUCUGAUUAGAUCCCUAGCUUGGGAACCUCCAUAUGCCGUGAGUGUGGUCAUAGAAAAGACAAAAAAAAGAAAAAAAGAAAGGUUCAUUUGUGCCAUAUAAGUUUCCAGAUAUAAGUGAUAUAUGGUAUUUGUCUGUCUCUUUCUGACUUACUUCACUUAGUAUGAGAGUCUCACAUUCCAUGUUGAUGCACAUGGCAUUAUUUUGUUAUUUCUUGUGGCUGAGUAUAUUCCAUUGUGUAUAUAUACCACAUCUUCCUAAUCCAUUCUUUGGUCAAUGGAUAUUUAUGUAUAUAUGUAUGACUGGGUCACUUCACUGUAUAGUAUAAGGUUGACAGAACACUGUAAACCAACUGUAAUAGAAAAGAUAAAAAUCGUUAUUAAAAAAAAAAGAACCUCUGAGAGUGCUAGAGAAAUUCCACCUUAUUUACCUGCUGACGGUAUUUUUUCCCUUCUUGACCGAUGACUGAGAUAUGUAGAAAUUUUAUGUUCUGACCUGUGAUGAAAAUUCUUCCCUCCUUAACUAUGUCCUUUUAUCUGAUCUUUUUCUUUGGCUCACACUCUCCAUGAAGUCAUUACUGACUUCCAAACCCUGGUGUCCCUUCUGUUAUACAAACCUGUUUCACUCAGAGUGUCAGAGCCUUUAGACUGCACCUGCCCAUCUGUGAGUGGUUUAUGCAACAUAGCUGUUGUUUUUCUCACCAGUGUAUUCAUUCUCGGAAGAUAUGGGUUGUUUUUUCACUGUUUUGGGAUGCCCUGAAGCACUGACAUAAUCCUAAGGACACACUAGGAUUUCAUUAAGCACAUGUUUAUUGAUUAAUCAAUCGUUUUUUUUAUGAAAUUUAGAACUCUGGUGCAUUACGCUAAUUUAAAAGAGCUGUGCCCCUUAGAAUCAGGAGGCUAAAUUCAGAAAAAAAUCAGGAGGGUGGAAGAUGAAGAAGUUGGCUCUCACCAGGCCUAAGCUUCAGGAUGGGAAGAAAUCAGAUUUUUUCACUUAAGCUCUGUUAUAAUCAAUGAUUGAAUUUGUCAGGACUUUGUCCUAGAAAAAGAAUCAGACUUUUUCACUGCAUCAAGCAUUAAAAAAAUCAGACAUCAAAUCUAAUUAAUAAUAAUAUAAAAGCCAAUUUCACAGCCCAUUACUUCAAACACACCAAUAUGGAAGGAGGGCCUGACAAACAUGGGCCUUCAUGUUUGUGGUCUUCAUAGUGACCCAUAACCAAAAGGAAGAAAAGUGGAACUUUUUUGUAUUCCCUCACCAACUGAUAGCUUUGGACACCGUACACCCAGACUGUAACACAAAGGAAAAAGAAUCAGGAGAAAAUUUGGAGCCCAACCUCCUCAGUUUGCUUCAUUAAUAAGGCAACAAACUCUUCCUCAGGUUCCUCCUCCCUCUACCCCUCCCUUUCCCUUUCCGUUUCGUUUAACUGAAGGCAGUUCAUCUCAUUUUAAUUAAUUUUUACUUCCAGCAUUAUCACCCUGAGUAUAAAGGCAAAAAGUUUUUUUUUUUUAAUUACAAAGCUAACGGCAUUAAUUACUAGUACAGUAAAUGCAUCAGCGCUUGCAAGCCAAGUGGGUUCCAAGGAGCUGAGGCAGCAAAUGGCGAACAUCUCAACAGCUGGAAAAGGCUUAGUCACAAAGGAGAAACCUUUCUGUGGUAACAAUAUGAAGGCUGUCGUCACACUGAUUGAGCUACUGUUUAAUUGAAAGUGACAUAGCCAACAGACUAGAGACAGCACUAUUGCAUUACAGGGAAAGGGUUAUUCAUAGAGUCUCUCUGGACUUCUUGCUGUGCCUACUGUCAGCUGGGAAGCCAGAAAUCAAACAAAAUUUGAAAUAUGUGAAAAUAGCUGCAGGAACAUAGCACUGCAGUGUGCAUGUAUGUCGUACCAAAUGUCCUUCUUUCUACUACUCAUUUAGUUUUUGCUCCACUAAUUCAGAAGCAGUAUCAUGAUGUGCUAAAAAGCUAAAACCCAGUACUUAAUACAUGCUAGAGAGGAGUGGCCAAUGUUGAGUGUUUCUAAAAUCAUAAGGUUUGCAAUUAACUUAGUAAAGUCAAGCAAAAGUGUUAUACCCACAAGUUUGAAAGGCCCAAUAAGUGCAUCACAGCAGAGCCUGCUAAAUAUUUUUCUUUCUUGCAAAUUGUAUGCAUGCUCUAGCAACCAAAAUGUCAUGAAGAAACACCUCUGCCAUUUUGUAGACAGCUCAUAGAAUCAGCCAUCCCCUAUUUCUGCCCUAGCACUUCCGUAAUCUGCUACUAAAGGCUUAUACAUGAUUCUGUACCUCUAUCAUUCUCUGCAUACAACUCAGAUUUUCUCUCAUGCAGUCUCCUUUGUUUCCAGACAUUUCUGCAUGCUUAUUUAAAAUCUUCUUCCCGGAGUUGUUGUCGUGGCACAAAGGAAACGAAUCCGACUAGGAACCAUGAGGUUGUGGUUCGAUCCCUGGCCUCGCUCAGUAGGUUGGGGAUCUUGCAUUACUGUGAGCUGAGACAUGGCUUGGAUCCUGUGUUGCUGUGGCUGUGAUGUAGGCAGCAGCUGUAGCUCUGAUUUGACCCCUAGCCUGGGAACCUCCAUAUGCCAUGAGUGUGGCCCUAAAAAAAAAAAAAGCAAAAAAAAAAAAAA